rnacentral:rRNA from 1 species
GUGAGGAAUAUUGGUCAAUGGGCGUAAGCCUGAACCAGCCAAGUCGCGUGAGGGAUGAAGGAUCUAUGGUUCGUAAACCUCUUUUAUAAGGGAAUAAAGUGCGGGACGUGUCCUGUUUUGUAUGUACCUUAUGAAUAAGGAUCGGCUAACUCCGUGCCAGCAGCCGCGGUAAUACGGAGGAUCCGAGCGUUAUCCGGAUUUAUUGGGUUUAAAGGGUGCGUAGGCGGCCUUUUUAGUCAGGGGUGAAAGACGGUGGCUCAACCAUCGAAUUGCCGUUGAAACUGGGGGGCUUGAGUAUGUUUGAGGCAGGCGGAAUGAGUAGUGUAGCGGUGAAAUGCAUAGAUAUCACGCAGAACCCCGAUUGCGAAGGCAGCCUGCCAAGCCAUGACUGACGCUGAUGCACGAAAGCGUGGGGAUCGAACAGG